rnacentral:rRNA from 1 species
GCAGUAGCCGCGGUAAUACGAGGGGUGCAAGCGUUAAUCGAAAUUACUGGGCGUAAAGCGUGCGUAGGCGGUUUGUUAAGUCUGUUGUGAAAUCCCCGGGCUCAACCUGGGAAUGGCAAUGGAUACUGGCAAGCUAGAGUGUGUCAGAGGAUGGUGGAAUUCCCGGUGUAGCGGUGAAAUGCGUAGAGAUCGGGAGGAACAUCAGUGGCGAAGGCGGCCAUCUGGGACAACACUGACGCUGAGGCACGAAAGCGUGGGGAGCAAACAGGAUUAGAUACCCGCGUAGUCCCUGUCUCUUAUAA